GAUCAUUAUUGAAGUAAACCUGAUAAGUUGCUGCUGGUUCUCUAGGGAGCAUGUGCACACUUGUCAUCUUUAUAUCUUCACCUGUGCACCUUUUGUAGACUUGGAUAACUCUCAGAGUGCUUACGCUCCGGUUUGAGGAUUGACUUUCUGUGUCUAUCCUUACAUUUCCAAGCCUAUGUUUCUUCAUAUACCCUAAUCUAUGUUAUAGAAUGUAGUAAAAAUGGGCCUUGGUGCCUAUAAACCUUAUACAACUUUCAGCAACGGAUCUCUUGGCUCUCGCAUCGAUGAAGAACGCAGCGAAAUGCGAUAAGUAAUGUGAAUUGCAGAAUUCAGUGAAUCAUCGAAUCUUUGAACGCACCUUGCGCUCCUUGGUAUUCCGAGGAGCAUGCCUGUUUGAGUGUCAUUAAUAUAUAUCAACCUCUUCAAGCUUUUGCCUGUAGAGUGUUGGAUGUGGGGGGGUUUUUAUUUUUUGCCGGCUUCUCUGAGGUCAGCUCCCCUGAAAUGUAUUAGCGGAACAGUUUGUGGACCGUUCAUUGGUGUGAUAACUUAUCUACGCUAUUGACGUGAAGCAAGUUCAGCUUCUUAGCAGUCCAUUGACUUGGACAAAUUUUUAUUAAUGUGACCUCAAAUCAGGUAGG
rnacentral:rRNA from 1 species